UUCCAUUAGAAUUUGCAGCCCAUUUUUCGGCGAUCCAGCAUCUCCGAUCUUCGUCGUUACGUUUUCAUCUUCCUUAACUCCUUCCAAGUUCCAACAAUGGCUUCCUGAAUCCAGCUCCAUCGUCUCCAUAGUCAACCUCAAAGAUCACAGAAUGGAGCUUGCUCUUUCCAUCCUCUUCCUCUCUCUCAACUUCUCCUCUUUUCUUCGUCCUGCUACUGCUGGAGGCGGCCUUCAUACUUCCUACCCUCCAGGUUGCCCUUGUUGCAAAUUAUCCAUGGGAUGGCACUCAGGAUAAAAGGUAAUCAAAACUGCCCUUGUCUUUUGAUCUAAAUUAAAUUACAGGAAAGAUUAUUUUGCAUGUCCAGACGACGAGACAUUCCAGUUCUUAGCAAGUGUAUAUAGUCGCUUCACUACAGUACGUCAUUGAGCAAGGAAUUUGAGGGAGGGAUUACGAAUGGUGCUUCCUGGUAUGAUGGCUUGAAACAUUACAACUUAUUAUAGGUUCAAGCUAGCGGAGCAUUGGCACAUUAAUUACCUUCGCAUUACCAUCGCUUGCUUGCCCCCGCCGGAAGAUAUGAAGUCACAGCUACUGCAACUGGGUAUAAAUCAAAGACGACAUGUAUCUGGUUGGAAGAAGCAGGCACGACAAAUGGGGAUUUUGUUCUCGAUCCUGAAGUCAAUCCCAGAGGAAUUCAACUUCAAAGUGCCUGUGAUUGCAGCUGGGGAAGUAUGAGCAUCAUUUGGGGAACCCCUUUCGAAGUGUACCUGCUUUUGAUUGUUAUUGUAGGUUCCUUUUGUUUUUAUACAGGAGGAGGACAUUCAGCCGAUUAAAACAAAGGCAGUUAGUAGGACCGAAAAGACCAGUUUGUGGGGGGGGAGAAGAUAGGUGAGAGAGUACAGGGAAACACCACCCAGGAAAGUGCCAUUAUGGUCACCCGCUAUAACUCUGGCUGGAUCUUCAAAGGCAACUCGAGUCCAUUGAGAAAUCAGAGAUACCUCUAGACCUCUGGCAAUGCUUAUACAUCUCAACUUUUGCCACAUUUCUGUACACUUCAAUCCAACAGCUCAGAAUCUUAAACUAUUAGGCAAUUGAUUAGAUAUUUGCUAUUUUCAAUUGAAACCGGGUUUCAAUUUUUCGAACGCAUCAUCGUGUUUGGCACCCCAGUGUUACAAUUUUCUGGGAUUGGGAUGCCAAACCCCACCCAAGUCAGUCUCCCCAUACGAAGCCGUCAUCAAGCGUUCAAUACUGCAGCUUCGUCUUUUGGGCUUGUUCAGCAUAUGCUUGUGUAUGUAAACCGAAAUGCAUUGAAUUAUGCUCCACAAGUUGUUAGGGAAAGGAAAGAGAGCAACAGGGUUGUGAUUAAGGCUGGUGAGUCCAAUGGGUUUUGGGAGGAGAUUUUAUACUAAUGAAAAAUUUGUGAAUGAUUUUAGGCAGAUUCAUGAGAGGGAACAUGUGAACAGGUUGAAUCAGAUUGAGACUGCUAGAGGGAGUUCGGGGGUGAAUUUGGUGGGUAAGUAUUCAAUGAAGAUGGACAAGUGAAAGAAUGCUUCAAGGGAUGUCUUGACACCCAAGGUUGGGCGUGGUUUAGCGGACUAAGGUGAAGCGGCAGGGGUUUUGGUUUUGGAUGUGUUGGAUACGCUACAGGGGAUGGAUGUUGCAUUGAGAAAUCAUAGGAGAGUUGAGUUUGUGAUGUUUGUGUCGGAUAAUCAAGGUAUUGUGGAUGUUGCGAUGGAGGCGAAGUUGAGAUGUAUGUCUGAAGAUGGUGGUUGUGGCGGAUUCUAGCUUUUCUUGGAAUGAAAUGUUGAGUAGAAAGGUUAAGAAGGAGGCUGUUUCUGGUUGUGGGGAAACGGAAAGACCAUCACAUGUUGAAGAUAUUGGACUAGACAUACAAGCCAGAGGAAGAACAAAGUUUGCAUAACUGGAAUGGUGAGGUUGAUGCUGAGAGUGAGGACGAGCAAAUCAAAGUUUUUGUUGGUGUGUGUGUGUGUUUGCGCUUGCAUGCGUGUGAAUGAAAAUUUGUGAAGGAUGAUACUGGCAGAUGGAUGGUGGGAGCUUGACUCGGGAUGCUGAGGCCAUUUCACCACAAUCAUGUCGAUGACACACGAAUCUUUCUGAAUCCUGGUUGACGAUCAUGUAUGCUACUGAGCCUGUGAUUUUGAUCAGUCAGGUAAGUUCGCUUUCCUCUCCUUAGCUACUGUACUAGUGCUUCAUGUUAAUGUCAUCACAACUACUGUCCUUGAAGAAAAUGGAGCAUGUAUAUGUUAUUUACCUUAUUUCGCGCACAAUAAAACACAGACGAAAGACACAAGGAAAAUUUACUUUGUGGAGCUUUCCAUUUGUGUUAUGCGGUAAAUAUGCACCAUAUGUUUGUAGAACUUCAAAGUGACAAAGGUUGUGCAUUGAUCUCAUUAUAUACUUUGAUUCAUUU